CAAAUUUUUCUGACAUUUCUGAACUAUUAGUUGCCAAUGAAAUUAAAUUAAAUUAAAUUCAACAACUCCAGGCAUUCGGUACUACAUAAAAGAAGUUAACAUAAAUAUGUGGAGGAGAAUAUGUUUGCAUUUGUUGUCAGAGCGGCUGAUCCUUUUAACUCCAGUGCAUCGCUCAUUUCUUGCUUACUUUGACAAAUUAGCUCUCCAGCAAAUGUUGUUCGAAAGCAAAUGGAAAUACCAGCUCAGCUUGCGGAUACUCGCACGUACACACGCACAUAUCUUGUCUGCGCUUGCACGGAACGCUCCCCAGUCAAGGGCAGUCGGAAGUCAGCUUACGCAGAAACGCAAAUACACCUAUCAACGCUUAACGCUGAACAUUCAAACACAUGCCACGGACGAAUUGCUUGUGCUUGUAUUGAGUUGACUUAAAUAAACGAUAUACAAAUACAUAUAUAUAUAUAUAUAAAUACGUAUAUACAUAUUUACAGUUAUGUGACUGUUUAUAGUGGUUUUAGCGUGUGUAUAUACGCUUUUAAAAGUUUCUAUUUAAAUGCAGUCGCUUUUGGGUUAUGCAUGUCUCGCCGCUGCGACUGCGUCAAAAUGAAAAAACUUUCACAUUUUAUUAUGAGAAAUUCUUGGCUUACUUUAUUAUUUCGAAAAAUAUGCGUUCAUGCAAAAUGAGCGCGAUGACAGUCGACGGCAUUUUGUCUGCCACAAGAAGUCAUUCAGACAUAUAUAUAUAUUAUAUGGGUACCUGUCUACAUUACUGCAUUAAAAAUAAACCCUGCAAUAUAAGGG